rnacentral:tRNA from 1 species
GCCUGGGUGGCUCAGUUGGUUGAGCAUCUGAUUUCGGCUCAGGUCAUGAUCUCGCAUUUUGGGAGUUCGAGCCCCGUGUCAGGCU